UACGAAGGGGGCUAGCGUUGUUCGGAAUUACUGGGCGUAAAGCGCACGUAGGCGGGUUUGUAAGUAGGGGGUGAAAUCCCAGGGCUCAACCCUGGAAUUGCCUUCUAGACUGCAAGCCUGGAGGUCAGGAGAGGCGAGUGGAAUACCGAGUGUAGAGGUGAAAUUCGUAGAUAUUCGGUGGAACACCAGUGGCGAAGGCGACUCGCUGGACUGAUACUGACGCUGAGGUGCGAAAGCGUGGGGAGCAAACAGG
rnacentral:rRNA from 1 species